UACGUAGGUAGCAAGCGUUGUUCGGAUUUACUGGGCGUAAAGGGCGCGUAGGCGGUCGUGACAAGUCACUUGUGAAAUCUCCGGGCUUAACUCGGAACGGUCAAGUGAUACUGUCGGACUAGAGUACAGAAGGGGCAACUGGAAUUCUCGGUGUAGCGGUGAAAUGCGUAGAUAUCGAGAGGAACACCUGCGGCGAAGGCGGGUUGCUGGGCUGAUACUGACGCUGAGGCGCGAAAGCCAGGGGAGCGAACGGG
rnacentral:rRNA from 1 species